rnacentral:lncRNA from 1 species
UAUGAUGAGUCUUAUUGAUCUUUGUUUCAACCAUGCCCCACAUGAAAUAUUCAAAAGGGCUGCAAUCUGGGCUGGACGGACGCCACAAAUCAGGGCUGGUUACUGAAAAGCUAGGCCUAACGGCAGUAUCGCUAUCGGAAAAUGGCGCUAUACGGCGGCCAUUUUCCAAUCGAUCUUGUUUUUUUCAGUCAACAGUUGUUGGUUCCUGAGGACAAAAGCUUUGUACCCCAAAUCCUUCUGCACUGCCAGACUGACUGUUGUCCUUGCCAUGCCCAUUUCUUUUGCCAGGUCAGCCAUGCUCUGCACUGGAUUCUGGACGAUCUUAUCCUUCAUUUCAUAGACAAAUUUGUCACUCCUCUUGCUAUCAGAUCG